rnacentral:misc_RNA from 1 species
GGAAGUAAAAGCGUAACAAGGUUUCCGUAGGUGAACCUGCGGAAGGAUCAUUAUUGUAUAACCGAGGUGCGAGGGCUGUCGCUGACCCGAAAGGUCGUGCACGCCCGAGUGCCCUCACACACAUCCAUCUCACCCCUAUGUGCACCACCGCGUGGGUCCCCCUUUGGCUUGUUCGGAGGGGGGCUUACGUUUUCACACAAACUUUGUAUGCAGUGUAGAAUGUAUCUUUUGUUUUUGCGAUCACGCAAUCAAUACAACUUUCAACAACGGAUCUCUUGGCUCUC